rnacentral:rRNA from 1 species
ACAAUAUUUAACGGCCGCGGUACCCUAACCGUGCGAAGGUAGCAUAAUCACUUGUUCUUUAAAUGAGGACUUGUAUCAACGGCAUCACGAAGGUUAUACUGUCUCCUUUUUCUAAUCAGUGAAACUGAUCUCUCCGUGAAGAAGCGGAGAUUUUUUUAUAAGACGAGAAGACCCCAUGGAGCUUUAAACCCAAUUGUACUCCUAUUCCUUAUUACUGCUUAAACUAUGGAAUCUACACACUUGGUUUUAGGUUGGGGUGACCACGGAGCACAAUUUAGCCUCCAUGAUGAACGGGACUACCCCCUUAUCUAAGAAUAACACUUCUAAGAAUUAGUAUUUUAACAUAAAAUGAUCCGUCAAUCGAUCAACGAACCAAGUUACCCUGGGGAUAACAGCGCAAUCCACUUCAAGAGCUCCUAUCGACAAGUGGGUUUACGACCUCGAUGUUGGAUCAGGGUGUCCUAGUGGUGCAGCAGCUACUAAAGGUUCGUUUGUUCAACGAUUAAAACCCU